UCCUACGGGAGGCAGCAGUAGGGAAUCUUCCGCAAUGGACGAAAGUCUGACGGAGCAAGCCGCGUGAGUGACGAAGGUUUUCGGAUCGUAAAACUCUGUUGUGAGGGAAGAACAAGUACCAACUAACUACUGGUACCUUGACGGUACCUCACCAGAAAGCCACGGCUAACUACGUGCCAGCAGCCGCGGUAAUACGUAGGUGGCAAGCGUUGUCCGGAAUUAUUGGGCGUAAAGCGCGCGCAGGCGGUCCCUUAAGUCUGAUGUGAAAGCCCACGGCUCAACCGUGGAGGGUCAUUGGAAACUGGGGGACUUGAGUGCAGAAGAGGAAAGUGGAAUUCCAUGUGUAGCGGUGAAAUGCGUAGAGAUGUGGAGGAACACCAGUGGCGAAGGCGACUUUCUGGUCUGUAACUGACGCUGAGGCGCGAAAGCGUGGGGAGCAAACAGGAUUAGAUACCCUGGUAGUCCACGCCGUAAACGAUGAGUGCUAAGUGUUAGGGGGUUUCCGCCCCUUAGUGCUGCAGCUAACGCAAGCACC
rnacentral:rRNA from 1 species